UUUGCUAUUCCUGGAAUUAAGUUGACUGUGCAGCCUCUUUCAGCAUGGCUUGUGCUCAGCAAUCAAAGUCAGCAACUUGAUUCCAGCAAUUGCGGUCA
rfam:Glossina brevipalpis unplaced genomic scaffold Scaffold64, whole genome shotgun sequence.